GUCAGGGCAAACACAACAAACAUGUCGGACGCCAGACCUGACCACGUUUAUCAGCUCCGCAUUUUUUCAUAAUUUAAGCCCUUAAAUUGCAACACUUCUGGAAAAUUUUUGUUCGCUGAUGCUGGGAUCAAGUUCGUUCACCGAUUUACAAAAAUGACAAAAAAUCCUAGGAGUCAAAUUUUGCCGAGGAGACCCAGCAACGCGGAAUACAUAACCACUACUCAUCCCCUCUUGGUUAAAAUAAAAAAGAACCUUUUGAAGAACACCUCAGACAUCAGCGGUAUCGACAUCAGCCCAGCUUUGUAGAUAAUGUGCUUCAUCAAUUAGGUAGAAUGCGAUUUUAUUACAAAAAUAAUAUUUAGUUUGA